rnacentral:rRNA from 1 species
GCAUAUCAAUAAGCGGAGGAAAAGAAACUAACAAGGAUUCCCUUAGUAACGGCGAGUGAAGCGGGAAGAGCUCAAAUUUGAAAUCUUCAAGGUUCUACCUUGACGAAUUGUAGUUUAAAGAAGUGUUUUCUGUUAGAUGAGUAGCAAAAGUUCCUUGGAAUGGGACAUCAUAGAGGGUGAGAAUCCCGUAUUUGGUUAUUCAUUCUAGCUUUGUGAUACACUUUCAAAGAGUCGGAUUGUUUGGGAAUGCAGUCCAAAAUGGGUGGUAAAUUUCAUCUAAAGCUAAAUAUUGGCGAGAGACCGAUAGCGAACAAGUACCGUGAGGGAAAGAUGAAAAGAACUUUGAAAAGAGAGUUAAACAGUACGUGAAAUUGUCAAAAGGGAAGCGUUUGACACCAGUGUUGUUUUUCCGAAAAUCAAUUACGAAUGGCUUGAUUUUGUGUUGUAUUGACCUUAUCAGCUUUCUGCACUUUUUUCGAGUCUUUCUUAAUGCACUUUUCGGUUAACAGGUCAACAUCAAUUUCUUUUGUUGUAAAAGAGUAUUCGGAAGGUGGCUUUCUUUUCGGAGAAAGUGUUUAUAGCCCUAUACUUCUACAAUCGGAGAGAUUGAGGUCUGCAGCGUAGAUCCUUCGGGGUUAGAUACACUUGUGCUAAGUUGUAGCUUUUCAUAGACAACUUGUUGACUAUGUUUAGUCAUGCGGCUUACUCGCUUGUGCUAUUUUACCUACGCUUAGGAUGUUGACAAAAUGGUUUUAAACGACCCGUCUUGAAACACGGACC